CGAUUCCCUGCUCAGUAACACUGUCUGUGCAGCGUAGCACCACUGGCUGUCAAAGGCAUACUCCUGAUUUACAUCUGUGUUAGCAAAAGGAGAACUGGACUCCCCCUUGUAUGUGCAAGUUUUUCAGUUGAGGCUCGUAUUCCACCCUUCGCUGGAGCUGCCAAAGAUACCGCUUGAGUUUGCGUGUAUAGAAGAUCUUUUGAGUACAUGUAUAUGCAGCUCAUUCAAAAGCUCAGGCAAGAUGAACCCAUGAUGAAUUCCCAGAAGAAAUUGAGGAAAGUGGAUCAGAAAAUCAGGGAAUGGACCAUAAUAAAAUGGUCAGAAAGGGGGAUCACCUGGCCCAUUGUUUUGCCUGAAGACAGGAUUGACUUCAGCUAAAUGAAAGUGGAUUCUAAAGGUUGAAGUUCUACCAACAAAACUCAAAACAACUGCAAUUUUAAUGACAUGCAGCCAAAUGGAAUACCUAC